CGGAAGCCGCCGGGGCCGCCUAGAGAAGAGGCUGUGCUUCGGCGCUCCGGCUCCUCAGAGAGCCUCGGCUAGAUGUGGAAACAGGAAGAGAACUAGAACUGGAAGUAAGGCAUUGAAGAUGUGACUGAAUUGCUGCAAUCUCAUGAUCAAAUUUGAAUGGAUGAGGAGUUGCUUUUUAGGGAUGAGCAAAGAAAGUUGCUCCUUGAGGGCAGGACAGUUCUUAUGGCUUUAUCCGUUGCCUAAGCACAGAGAGGUCUGCGAGGUCAAAACUAUUGUCAUGAUAGCAAGAUGCCUGUCUUUUUCAUUUAUUCUCACAGUGUGCAGAGGCUACAUGAUGUGUGAUGACAUCCUCAUUGAUGUUAAUGAAUGGUGCUAUACUUGAAUUUUCUAAGGUGUCAUUAGGUAGGUUUAGGUAUGCAUACUUGUUUUUAGAAAUUAUUUUUUCCCUUUUUCCCAUUUUUAGAAAUCAACUCAUUUUUUAGGUUAUGCCUUCAGUAAUCUUUGCAACCUCAAUAUUGGGUAAUGGUUACUUUAAAAUACUGUAGUUUUCUUUGUGCCUAAGUAUAAACAUAAGUACAUUUUGUUGUUUUGUUUGCAAUAAUGGUUUAAAUAUUUUCCCAAAAUAUCCAAAUUUAAAAAUUCUACAACUUUAGAAUUUAAUAAAUUUAUUCUAAAAUAUUUAUAUAUUUUUUCAUUUAAGAAUGGAUCAUUGGCUUAAAAAGACUGCUUCUCAUUUACUUAUUGGCUAUACUCUCUGUAUACUAAUAAAAAACAAGAUUUGAUUUGGAAGGACUGACUCAAACUAACGAAAAUAUGAAACCUGUCUUUCUGCUUUGGAGAUAUUUACCUAAUCAUGUUCUGCAGUAGAAUAAUUUAGUUCUAUUGUCUUUUUUUGGAGAUGAGGUCUUGCUGUGUUGCCCAGGCUAUUCACAGCUGCCAUCAUAGUGAACUACAGCCUGAAACUCCUGGGUUCAAGAGAUCCUUCUGCCUCAGCCUCCUGAGUAGCUGGAACUAUAGGCAUGCACCACCAAGCCUGGGCUUUUAAAAAAAUUUUUAAAAGAAUUUUGAGACAGGAUCUUGCCAUGUUGCUCAGGCUAUUCUUCAACUCCUAGCCCUGAGUGAUCUUGCUUUGGGACUCUCAAAAUGUUGAGUUAAUAGGCGUGAGCCACCAUACCCAGCCAAAAAUUUUUUUAGAGAUGGGAAUGGAAUGAUCUUGAAUAGUGCUGGUGCCACCUAUGUUGUGGCAUCAUUUUGAAACCAAUCAUUCAGAGUGCUUUUUUUGGUAAGGCAUUAUUUUUUAAUGCAGGUAUGCCACUACUGGAAAAAAAAACAACAACCAGGUUUUAAAGCUAGAAAUGAAAAGCUACUUAAGUAUCUUAAAGGAUAAGUUACUUUAUUAUACACUAGAAACAUACACAAUAGCUGAAAAACUUAAAAAAAUCUCACAUUGCUGAAUGUCUCUGCUGGCUGAAGUGUAAGUAAAAGAUCAUAGUAGUGCCUCUGUUGAGUGAUACAGCAACUUGCCAUUAAAGAUGUGUGUGCAGACAUGGAUUCUGAGUUAAUAUCUCAUCUGUAGAAGUAUACAUUUGUCCCUUGCUUUGGGAUUGGUUUCUGGACACCACUGCCCUACCCUUGCUGGCCAUUUGCCAAGGACACCAAAACCCAAGGAUGUUGAAGUCCCUUAUAUAAAAUGGCGCUGUAUCUGCAUACAACUUACACACAUCCUCCCAUAUACUUUAAAUCAUUUCCAGAUUUCUUAUACUUCAUACAAUGUGAAUGCUAUAUAAAUAGUUGUUACAUUGUGUACUUAUAUUU
rnacentral:antisense_RNA from 1 species